UACGUAGGGUGCAAGCGUUGUCCGGAAUUAUUGGGCGUAAGGAGCUCGUAGGCGGUUUGUCGCGUCUGCUGUGAAAACUCAGGGCUUAACCCUGAGCCUGCAGUGGGUACGGGCAGACUAGAGUGUGGUAGGGGAGAUCGGAAUUCCUGGUGUAGCGGUGGAAUGCGCAGAUAUCAGGAGGAACACCGGUGGCGAAGGCGGAUCUCUGGGCCAUAACUGACGCUGAGGAGCGAAAGCAUGGGGAGCGAACAGG
rnacentral:rRNA from 1 species